CCUACGGGUGGCAGCAGUCGAGAAUCAUUCACAAUGGGGGAAACCCUGAUGGUGCGACGCCGCGUGGGGGAAUGAAGGUCUUCGGAUUGUAAACCCCUGUCAUGUGGGAGCAAAUUAAAAAGAUAGUACCACAAGAGGAAGAGACGACGAACUCUGUGCCAGCAGCCGCGGUAAUACAGCGGUCUCAAGCGUUGUUAGGAAUCACUGGGCGUAAAGCGUGCGUAGGCUGUUUCGUAAGUCGUGUGUGAAAGGCGCGGGCUCAACCCGCGGACGGCACAUGAUACUGCGAGACUAGAGUAAGGGAGGGGGAACCGGAAUUCUCGGUGUAGCAGUGAAAUGCGUAGAUAUCGAGAGGAACACUCGUGGCGAAGGCGGGUUCCUGGACAUUAACUGACGCUGAGGCACGAAGGCCAGGGGAGCGAAAGGGAUUAGAUACCCUAGUAGUC
rnacentral:rRNA from 1 species